AAGUUCAAGUGAUUCUCCUGCCUCAGCCUCCCUAGUAGCUGGGAUUACAGGUGUGUGCCACCACGCCCAACUAACUUUUGUAAUUUUAGUAGAGACAAGGUUUCACCAUGUUGGGCAGGCUGGUCUAAUUAAUUAAGCUUUUUAAACAAUUUAACCAAAACAAAAUUCUGGCAUUAGAUUCAGCAUAUCAGGAGGUACUCUUUGAAGACCAUUGCAUUUCUUUCUUUUUCAGUAAAAUGAAGGGGAAAAAAAGUGUGUUGACCUGAAUUGAUUUGAUAUGGGGAAGAGGCCUUUUAAGAUCAAGUCCUUUCUUUUUGUUACAAAGUUACCUCGGUUGAACAUCAUAUUUUAUUUGCAUUUUAUGCUUUUAGUUAUUCUGUGAACUUUUCUGUACAUCUGGUUUUGCUUAGUUUGUUCAUAUUUAUUUCUCUUACUAGAUAGUAAGUUCUCUGAGAGCAGAAAUUUGUUUACUACCCCAGCACUUAACACAGAACCUUAUUAGUUGGGUUCAAUAAAAAUACAUUGACAAGAAUUUGAGUUUUUAUUUUAUACUCCUAUAGGACUCAGAAAUGGUAUCCUGAUACUUAAUAGGCAGUGGUUACUCAAAGAAAAUCUGUACCAAAAUCCAAAGGGUUUUAACUUAAUUCCUUUUCUAUAGGGAGGUAUAUCAUACAAAGAGAAUGCAACAUGUUAUCUGUGUAAAAUGGACUUCUGACAGCAAGUAUAUUAUGUGUGGAUCUGAUGAAAUGAACAUUCGCCUGUGGAAAGCUAAUGCUUCUGAAAAAUUGGGUGUGGUAAGAGAAUUCAUUUUCUUUCAUUGUCAUAAAGCUGAUUUCUAAUUUUAUUAGAUAUUAUUACAUUGUGAAAAUUUACUUUUAGGUAUUUUUGGGUAUUUUGAUUAAAUUGACAUAGCUGUGAUAAAAAAAGCAAUAAAUGGACAAGGUUGUAUUGAUAAUUAUUUGCUUCAUUCUGAUCUAUUAUUGUAGACACUGUACAUUCAAAUUGACAUUUAAGACCUUCAGAAUGCCUUUGUUAAUUCAGAUGUUUGAUAAUAUUGAGUCUUACUGGUUUUUUGUGUUUUCCUUGAGGUAGGGACAGAAGAUGCAGGAACUAGAGGCUCAGAACUUAGAGCUCGUAUCUCUUGUUAGAGAAAUAGUCAUCCAGCAACUCAAAGGCUGCAAGUCCCUGGGAGAUCUUGUAAUAUCAAAGACACAAUGGAACAUUUAAUAAAUACAGAAAGCUUCAGACUUUAAAAAAGAUUCCAUGAAAAAAUAGCAGGUGUUAUCAUUGGCUGGUUACCUCCAGGAUAGGGGAUUAUGGUUGAUUUUGUUUUGUUCUUGAUGUUUUUCUAAAUGUCCCAUAUUUUCUAUAAGAAACAGAGUGUUUAUAUUAGAAAUAAAUAUUAAGUUUAAGAAGGAAAGGGUAAAUGUGAAUUAUUUUCUACUUAGUCCUGAUAGGAAAAUCAAAGGCAAUUCUGUUAUAGGUUUAAUGAUUGAUAAGUAUUGCAUUGUGCCUAGGUCCAUCAUUAAAUGUUCCUCUAAAUCGUAUCAUCCUUAACAUUCGUUAAACAAAGGGUAGUUCUUAUGGAAUUGGAUACUUAUUUUUUCUUUGCUGUUUCACUAUGUUUAACUCACCUCUCUACCCACCCCCAAAAUUUGAGUGAGUGAUUUAGGUGCUUUUCUAUGUUAUUGAUGCCUAGGGAAGGUCCAACUCAGUGAUCCACGUGGCCCUACUCCUUCAGCACUGCUGCUUUCUACUGGGUGGCAUCUAUCUACAUGGCGAGUGUGUUGCCUAAAAGGAAAUUCAGUGCUUGCAGGCUAGUGUUACUAAUAUAACCUUGUAAAGUGCAGAAUUACAUUGGCAAUUUUGGUUGCAUAUCAUAAAAGAUUAGGUUAGGGGGAAAAGGAUGCUUUCUAGCUUUUUUAUACUGAAGCAAAACAACACACUAUUCAUUAAGAUACCAAAAUGUGUAUUUUCAGCUUACAUCACGAGAAAAAGCAGCCAAGGAUUAUAACCAGAAAUUGAAGGAGAAAUUUCAGCAUUAUCCUCAUAUAAAACGUAUAGCUCGUCAUCGACAUCUACCAAAAUCUAUCUAUAGCCAGAUUCAGGAACAGCGCAUCAUGAAAGAAGCUCGUCGACGAAAGUAUGUUUUGAGGCAUUUGACUCUAUUACCCUUUUCUGACUUCUGCUCUCAUCUCACCAAAAACAAACUUAACUGCCAUUCAAGGGAGUAGUUUAUGUGCUAUUAUUUAAUAGUAUGUUAGUGAUGUGUUUGAAGACUUCUACAGAAGGCCUUUUCUUUUUUCUUUUUUUUUUUUUUUGAGACGGGGUCUCGCUCUGGAGUGCAGUGGCACAAUCUUGGUUCACUGCAAGCUCCGCCUCCCGGGUUCAUGCCAUUCUCCUGUCUCAGCCUCCUGAGUAGCUAGGACUACAGGUGCCCGCCACCAUGCCCGGCUAAUUUUUUGUAUUUUUAGUAGAGACAGGGUUUCACCAUGUUAGCCAAGAUGGUCUCAAUCUCCUGACCUCGUGAUCGCCUGCCUCGGCCUCCCAAAGUGCUGGGAUUACAGGUGUGAGCCACCAUGCCCCGCCCAGAAGGCCAUUUCUUUUUCCUUUUCCCAAAAAAGGGAAGCAAUGACUAUCUGAGAAUGGGAGAACUUCCAUUACCUGUUUUUGAGAAUAUGUUUAAAGGACAAACGAUGAAAAUGAGUUACCAAAAUAAGAAAACACUUGCUCAUAUUAAAAAAUUAUUGUAAAAAAUGUUUUAAAAAAUAAUUUCUGAUGUAGCUGGAAUUAAGAGAUUUUGUGUAUUUUCCAAGUUGAAGAAUUAAUCUAUAGUAGAGCUCUUUUCUUAAGUAAAAAGUGUUCUGAUAUACUUUAUUAUAACAUGACAUCUAUCAUUUUGGAUAUAGAGCAGAGCUACUACCACCACCACCAUUUCCCGUGAAAUAUUCUUCUCUUUGAAAUACUUGAAGUCAUGCAUGAAAUUCUAAGAGCUCUUUAUUUUUCAAUUAGAAUAUACAAAUGGCUCUUUUUUUCUGUCUUUGGGUAGAUGUUGCAGUAGAAUCACUUUUAGAAAUUUUAUUAACUGUGGCAGGUUUUUAAACUUAGUAAAGGACCCUAUUAGGUAAAUAUGAUAAGAAGCAAUUAAAUAAGUAAAGUUGAUUUCUUGGUACUAGCUUCCUUUUACCUAUUGUCAUCGUGAAAAUAUUUUUUUAAAUAGGUGUUUUUCUAGUGAAAGAAAAUGCUUUGAUUUUUCUGAGAAAGUUUUCUUUAAGAUAAGUUCCCAUAACUUGCUUAUAUUUUGUAUAUUUUAUUUCUAGGGAAGUGAAUCGUAUUAAACACAGCAAGCCUGGAUCUGUGCCAAUUGUGUCAGAGAAGAAGAAACACGUAGUGGCAGUUGUAAAAUAAUUGGUAUUCCUAACAAUCCUGAUGUAUAAUUAUUUGUUACUUUUGCUUUGAGAACUCUACAAAUAAAAGUGCUGGGACUAGAUUAAUUGCAAACA
rnacentral:sRNA from 1 species